rnacentral:rRNA from 1 species
GUUGGGAAUAUUGCGCAAUGGGCGAAAGCCUGACGCAGCGACGCCGCGUGAAGGAAGAAGCCUCUAGGGGUGUAAACUUCUUUUGUUUGGGAGGAUUAUGACAUUACCAAACGAAUAAGUGACGGCUAACUACGUGCCAGAAGCCUCGGUGAUACGUAGGUCACGAGCAUUAUCCGGAAUUAUUGGGCGUAAAGCGUGUCUAGGUGGUUUUGAAAGUUUUUUGUUAAAUGUUCAGGCUCAACCUGAAAAUCGCAGGAAAUACUUCAAGACUAGAGGUCAGUAGAGGUGUAUAGAACUUUCGGUGUAGGAGUGAAAUCCGUUGAUAUCGAAAGGAAUACCAAUGGCGAAGGCAGUACACUAGACUGAUUCUGACACUCAAGCACGAAAGCGUGGGUAGCGAAAAGGAUUAGAAACCCGGGUAGUCC